rnacentral:tRNA from 1 species
GGCGACGUAGCUCAGCCGGUUAGAGCGAGGGAUUCAUAAGCCCUAGGUCGGUGGUUCGAGUCCACCCGUCGCUA